AGGACGAACGCUGGCGGCGUGCUUAACACAUGCAAGUCGAACGAGGUGCUUGCACCUAGUGGCGAACGGGUGAGUAACACGUGAGCAACCUGCCCUUGGCUCUGGGAUAGCCUCCGGAAACGGGGAUUAAUACCGGACAUGACCUUCUCCUGCAUGGGGGAGGGUGGAAAGUUUUUCGGCCAGGGAGGGGCUCGCGGCCUAUCAGCUUGUUGGAGGGGUAACGGCCCACCAAGGCGACGACGGGUAG
rnacentral:rRNA from 1 species